rnacentral:rRNA from 1 species
UACGAAGGGAGCUAGCGUUGUUCGGAAUCACUGGGCGUAAAGGGCACGUAGGCGGAUUUGUCAGUCAGGGGUGAAAUCCCGGGGCUCAACCUCGGAACUGCCUUUGAUACAGCAAGUCUUGAGUUCGAGAGAGGUGGGUGGAAUUCCUAGUGUAGAGGUGAAAUUCGUAGAUAUUAGGAAGAACACCGGUGGCGAAGGCGGCCCACUGGCCCGAUACUGACGCUGAGGCGCGAAAGCGUGGGGAGCAAACAGG